rnacentral:tRNA from 1 species
AGGCCAUGUAGCGGGGCUUCAGCGCGCCGGCGCCAACGCCGCCGGCAAUGGCGCGCCGGACGGUUCGCGAUCGCCCAGGGUAUU